AGUCAAAAUGUCGCUACUGCUGUUGCUGUUAUUAGAGUAUAUUGUUAACAAAUGUAUGAAUUCAAAUUCUCCGAUGAAUGCCUUCAUAGGCCCUUCCAAAAAGGAAUGCAAGAAUUUUCACUAUUGCAUUAAUGAAUGACGCAAUAAUAAUGUCAAGGAAGUCUUUUGGAAAUUUCGUUCGGAACUCGGAAAUUGCAUGGUUUUUAGAAAUUCCUCCAGGAUAUCGUCUAUUGAACUUGCAGCGAUUCCUUCCAAAACCCAGUUACAGACUUCGUGCUAAAUUUCUCCUGCGUUUUCGUCAAGAUUGUUUCCAAAAAGUUUUGCUGUGAUUUUACAUAUUUUAUUUGAAUCAAUCCAACAAAUCCUCCAGAAAUUCGCUCUGUAAAUCUUCAAGACAUAAAUCAAAACUAUUUUCCGGUUUUUCAA